GGCUGAACUCUGGUUCUGAGAGGAAAGGCACUCCAGGGUUUUGGAGUGGGCCACCUGAACUUGACCCUCAGGGCAGGUAUCCUAGAGUUCCAAGGAAGGCCCAGGCUGGGCCAAGAAGCCACCUCCAGAAUGCUGUUGUGGUGACACAGAGCACGCAGGGUCCUUCCCCAGCUCUGCUCUUGUCUUUCUCUGGGGGUGGGGUGGGGGGACGACAAUUGGAACCUGGACUGCCCAGGAGGCUGGUAGUGGGUUGGGCAGAAGGAAUGCAGCCCUGGCUCUCAGCCCAGAGGCUUUGGGUCCGCCUGAGGCUGCCUUGGGGGUGGUGGUGGUAUACCUGGCUGGGCAGGGAGCUGCGACCAAGGGCUCUGUGUCUGAAUUAGCUUAGGGUUUCUUCGUGUAGCCCUGGCUGUCAUGGAACUGGCUCCAUCGACCAGGCUGGCCUCGAACUCAGAGUUUCACCUGCUUCUGCCUCCUGGGUGCUGGGAUUAGAGGCAUGCGCCAGCACUGUUUGGCUUUGGAGGACUAAUUAAAGACUGAAAGAGGAAAGAGGUUGGGGCCCUGUAGCUCCUUCAUGCAUGUGUUCAUUUCUGGCUUAAAAGGUGUCUAUCCUCUUGCAGGAAGUGGGAGAAGCUGAGAAGGUGAAGCCGCUAAUGAUGUAACUUGCAGAUCCCUGCUGGAUCAACUCAUUUCUCUGUGCAGAAGAUCAGCCACUGUUCAAGGAAUAUAGAGCCCCACUCAGGGCCAAGGAGAGGCUCCAGAAAAAUCACAAACACAAGAAUGUGUGUGAGGUACUGGAUAAAGCUGAGCAUGCUGUCCCAGGCAUGGGGCCUUCUCACCGGUUCUCUGAAGCCACCCCCUCCUUUAUGCCUUGAGGCUGCUUGCUGAUGCCAGGAGUAAAAGAAAUGACUCCUGCCCCUCUGUCUGUGUCUCUCUGUCUCUCUGUCUGUGUCCACCCUCCCCCCCCACCCCCCAAAUCUGUCUU
rnacentral:lncRNA from 1 species